CAAAGAAACUAAACCCACAACCAUGAACUUCCACUGUAUAAAAUUAAGUUGGAAUUCACCAAAAAAAAAAUCACACCCGCACAUAAAAAGACAAACAAAAGUUUUAAGUACCAGCAUGGAAUUUCUCAAGGGCUUGAAGCUGAAGUGGCGAUGUUCUCCUCAUUUCCAUCUGUCCCCUCCUCUGCUUCAAUCAACUUAUCAGCCGUGCUUGAAUUAAUCAUACUGGAUUCUUCGUAGACUGACUAUAACUAAUGAAAGGACCAAAAAAAAAAAAAAAUUCACAUAUCCUCCAAAAGAACGGAAUCCCGAGACGAGAAUUCAUACAUAUAUUAUAAAGAAAUGAAAUGAAGUGACAAUCCUACUCUGAGACACCAAAAUCACACAAAUGAACCAAUCAUUCAUGUCAAAGAGCACCUUAGUAUCAGUGGGACUGUAAGUAAGAAGAAAAUAUAGCGAAACUGAGAGUGGAGAGUGUAAGGGAGAUGAGAGUAAAGCAUUUAGUGAUUAGUUGCAGUAGUAAUGCAAAUGGAGAUAGAAGGGACUGAAAACGAGGUUGAAGAAGAAGAACGAGGAGAUAGAGGAGGAGGAGGGACCAGUAGAGAGAGUUUACCAAAGUUGUAGGGUUUUGGGUUUUAUUUUUUACCAGAUUUUAACACAUGGAUCUAUUGAGGGCUUUUGCUUUUAUUUUUUCUUCGAAAUUUCUAUUGUGGCUCCUCUUUCUCUCUAGUUUCAGUCAACUGCCAUCAGGGAUACGGUGUCGUUCUUAAGGACCAACACUGAGUUUUUCUGAGAACCCAGCUGCGCCCAAACCAACCCAACCCAACCAAAGCCUCACCAGAGCGAGAAAUAGGUCUGGAGUCAGGGCUUGUCUCUCUGUGCUAAUGUCCUAUAUAUUUGUUGUUCUUUUGCUUAUUGUGAAGAGAGCUUCCAAACAAGGAUGUUGGAUAACGAUUGCCCGCUCUUAACCCCACCUCCAAAACGAUCAUCUCUGAAAACCCAAUCGCAUUUCAAUACCUUCCCUACCCUCUUUGGAAACACAAGGUUCGUCUGAAUUUAUCAUUUUCUUUUUCUUGUUUCCAAAUUUUUUUAUCUUGCAUUCAAUUGGGGGGGACAUGUUUGUUCAAUUGCCUUUGGAAUGGUGAAGUGUAGUUGAGGGAGAGCUGUUACAGAAGGGUGCGCAAGGACAGCAAUCGCUUGCUUUGGAAAUGAGGUUGCCCCGCUGCUAAAUCCCUCGGUAACAAGGUUAAUUUAGACAUACUGCAGACUCAAUUGUCAGAAGAGCAUACAAGAACAUCUUGAUCGUGACUGUAGAUUGAGAUCCAAGUUUUGCAUGGAAACUAGAUUUGGUUUAACUGCAUUACACAUCCCUUGUAUGGCUUGCAAAAUUUUUGAGAUUGUAAUGUAGCAUCUUUUUUCUUAUAGUACUUUAAGAAGGAAAUAUACUUGAUAGAUCACCGUUAAAUUAAUUUUUUUUUUUUUUUAAAGAAACGAUUGGGGCGUUUGAAUUUUAAUUUUCAGUAUUUUCAGCUGUGUUUUGUA